rnacentral:rRNA from 1 species
GACGAACGCUGGCGGCGUGCUUAACACAUGCAAGUCGAACGAAGUGGCGAACGGGUGAGUAAUACGUGAGUAACCUGCCCUCCUUUUUGGGAUAAGCCUUGGAAACGGGGUCUAAUACCGAAUAAAGGGGGAUGGGCUCGCGGCCGAUCAGCUUGUGGGGGGGGUGAUGGCCUCCCAAGGCGGUGACUGGUAGCCGGCCUGAGAGGGUGACCGGCCACAAUGGAACUGAGAUACGGACCCGACUCAGACGAUAGUCAGCAGUGGGGGAUAUUGCACAAUGGGCGAAAGCGUGAUGCAGCGACGCGCCGUGGAGGGUGAAGGCGUUAGGGUUGUAAACCUCUUUCGCUAUCGACCGGGUCGGUGGAGAAGAAGCGCCGGCUAACUCCGUGCCAGCAGCCGCGGUAAUUC